rnacentral:rRNA from 1 species
UACGUAGGGUGCGAGCGUUAAUCGGAAUUACUGGGCGUAAAGCGUGCGCAGGCGGUUUUGUAAGUCAGAUGUGAAAUCCCCGGGCUUAACCUGGGAACUGCGUUUGAAACUACAAGGCUAGAGUGUAGCAGAGGGGGGUGGAAUUCCACGUGUAGCAGUGAAAUGCGUAGAGAUGUGGAGGAACACCGAUGGCGAAGGCAGCCCCCUGGGUUAACACUGACGCUCAGGCACGAAAGCGUGGGGAGCAAACGGG